UCAGGUUCAAGGGUGUGAAGUUCAGGCUGUAAAAAAAAAGAAAGUUUGAACACUACUCUCAUCUCCUUGCAUGGAUCAUCAAUUUGCAAACUGCCAUUUCCUUAAGUUAUCGAAAAAAAGAGACAAACUCGGGGCCUCGAGGGAAGGAGACCCAUUGUUCAAAACCUGUAGUGCAUGUAUCUUCACCACCACCAUAACAUACAUAUUGCUCAUCUCUCUUAUCUAAAAAAAAACAGGGCAUGUGGUCUAUGCUGAGAACAAAGAAAUACCCAUUGGCAACAUAUGUAUGUUAGGACUUUAAUUUUUUUUUUGCAAGAGAUGAA
rnacentral:lncRNA from 1 species